rnacentral:lncRNA from 11 species
AGCAACACUACACACACCAGGGAGAUAAUAUGCAGCAUUGUGUGGAACUCCUUUCUGCUUCACACUGGUCUGAACAGGAAGACAAGAAGAGCCCUCUAGAGGACACAGACUGCAAUGCUAUGGAAUACAGUAUUGCAAAAGAAAAGGUAAGCACUUCUGAAGACAAAUAUUCUAAACAGCUGUUAAUAGCUCACUCUUGAGUUUUUAUUAUAUUCAAUGUUGUUAUCAGUUUAAAAGUGUUACAUUGUAUUCCUUUUAGUUAGUAAAUCACCUUGAAUUUCUUUUUUGAGGGGAGUGAAGUGUGAGGAGUAACAAUAAUCCUAUUUUUUAAUUCAAUUGUCAUCACUAUUAGCCUGUGUCAUUAGUGUCCAGUUCCCAUCAACUUCCUUCCUUUUUGACAGUCUUUGUAUAGAUAAUUGAAGUAAAUAGAUGUAAUCUUAGGAGCAGUCUUCCACUAUGUUGGGCACCUGUUUGAAGGAGAAAUCAAGAUUUCUCUGCUGCAAACCAUCUGGAAAUUUAAGACCUUAUUCCUGCUUUUGUAAGUCAAAGGAAAAGGGAACAACAUGAUCUAUGACAACAUUUAGGUUGAUCUUUGUUUGUCCUCGGGGAAUUGAGCUGAUUCCUUUUGUCUUCAGUGCAUUUGUACAGUUUAUGCAAAAGUUUUGAAGGUAUGGCAAGGCCGGGUUCUGGACACACAUCCCAAAGCCACAUUAAGGGCCUCAUUAUUUCCUGGGCACACAAAUAUCCUGCCCCAAAGUGUGCUGGAGUCUCCUUCUCUUGAGGUUUUUAAGCAGAGGCUAGAUGGCCAUCUCUCGGGGGCGCUUUGAUUCUGUGUUCCGGCAUGGCAGGGGGUUGGAGUGGAUGGCUCUUGGGGUGUCUUCCAACUCUAGGAUUCUAUGCAAUUAUACAGAAAACUGCAUCAGACAUAAUUGUAGAUUGUGAUGGAUGGGUCAACAUGUUUGGGCAAGUGGCCAGUGGUUGCUGCCACAUACAAUGAUGGAUAUUGUACCCGAGAUUGUCAUGAAUCAUGAUGUCUGAACCUAGCA